UACGUAGGGGGCAAGCGUUGUCCGGAAUUAUUGGGCGUAAAGCGCGCGCAGGCGGUUGAUUAAGUUUGGUGUUUAAGCCCGGGGCUCAACCCCCGGUUCGCACUGAAAACUGAUCGACUUGAGUGUAGGAGAGGAAAGUGGAAUUCCACGUGUAGCGGUGAAAUGCGUAGAGAUGUGGAGGAACACCAGUGGCGAAGGCGACUUUCUGGCCUAUAACUGACGCUGAGGCGCGAAAGCGUGGGGAGCAAACAGGG
rnacentral:rRNA from 1 species